rnacentral:rRNA from 1 species
AACGGAGGGGGCGAGCGUUGCCCGGAUUUACUGGGCUUAAAGGGUCCGUAGGCGGUGUCCUAAGUCCCCCGUGAAAGCUGCCCGCUCAACGGGCAGAGGUCGGGGGAGACUGGGACACUUGAGGGCGGGAGAGGCCAGCGGAACGGCGGGUGUAGCGGUGAAAUGCGUCGAUAUCCGCCGGAACACCAGUGGCGAAGGCGGCUGGCUGGAACGCCCCUGACGCUGAGGGACGAAGGCCGGGGGAGCGAACCGGAUUAGAAACCCUAGUAGU